rnacentral:lncRNA from 13 species
AUGUCCUCACCCCGGCUCAACCCUAAACCAAACCCAAACCCAAACCCAAACCUUAAGUUCAUGUCCUCACCCCAGUCAACCCUAAACCUAACCUUAACCCAAACCCUAAGUUCAUGUCCUCUCCCCGGCUCAACCCUAAACCUAACCCUAACCCAAACCCUAAGUUCAUGUCCUCACCCCGGCUCAACCCUAAACCUAGCCAUAACCCGAACCCUAAGUUCAUGUCCUCACCCCGGCUCAACCCUAAACCUAGCCAUAACCCUAACCCUACCAAUAGCUUCAUGCCCACACCCAGGACCAUAUCCACACUUUAUAUACAAAUCUAAACGCUGCACUCAAUCUAAUUAAUAGCUGAUAUUAUCAGUACAAAUAAAGACACCUUGUUUACUGUAGCUUCAUCUCAUGUGUACAUGAUAACAUAUCAUGUCCUCUAUGCCCAUCAGCCCUGAGGUUCUAGUCCAGCUGUCCUGAGGGGUGUGUCACUGUCCUGUCCUUCAACCCUCCAUACAGCCAAUCGAUCUCAUAGGACCAUAGGGGACUGUAGGACGACCUUGUCCCUGCUCUCCCAUACUUCCUAUCCCAGUGGCAGGAGUGGAGCUGGGCCUCUCUGCUCUCGACAGGAAGAAGGGAGUGGGGGUCUUUGUGCGUGUCCUUUACUUUGCCUGUCACAAAAAGCCCCUGGCCGCCCAAUGACAGAGGAAGGAUAUCUGGUGGAGAGCAAACAGUGUGUGUUUGGGGAGGCUACUGCCCCAUCCUACUGAAACAGCAACGCAGAGCCAUUGUUGUUCACGGAGACCAUGUUCAUGGAGACAGUGUCCAUGGAGAUAGUGUCCAUGGAGACAACACCCGUAUCCCACUGUGUCAAAGUACAAAGUGUCUAUUAUGGUUGCCCAUGUGUGACAGGCUGUGGAUGGAAGGAGCAGCUUAUAUGUGUGACAGUGUACUGGGGGGGUGUACAUACGAUAGACAUUACAAAGGCUAUGACAUCACCAGGGAGCACAUAUUUGUACAUUUGAGAGGAAAGUGUAAGAUAAUACGUCUACCCUGCAUUAUAUUAUAUUACAUUAUGAUAUAUUAUAUUAUAUUACAUUAUAUUACGUUACAUUACAUUACAUUGACAACAAUCCUCACCUGUCCGCUCCACUGAGGGCCAUUGCUUUGGUGAAUUCAUUGUUUCAUACUCAUUUGUUGCAGAACCCCUCCAAAUAUGGAGUGUUCAUCCUUUCCAUCUUCAGGUAAAUAACUAAUCAUAGUGCCUAAUUUAGCAGCUGAUGAUUACUGCUAGCUAAACAUAGCAGUGUAACCGUUGAGAAUGCAGGUCUGGCGUGUUAGUAGAGGCCUGUCUGUAUUCACGGUGUUGGAGGGUCACAUCCCUCCUCCUCCUCCUCCUCCUCCUCCUGGGGGAGAAUCCUUUCACUGCCAAACACACACCAUAGCCUGAGGGGCAGAGUGACCGCUCAGGCAGCGCCUGCCACAGGAAACACACACAUAUACACACACAAACACACAUUCAUGAAACCACACACACACACCAUCCACUGAUUCUAGAUUCAGUUCUGAUUCUGUACUGUUAAUGAUUAGCAACAAGCAGU